ACGGGUGAGUAAUGCUUAUCUUACCUGCCAUUUAGUGGGGGAUAAAAUUCCGCAUAUUAUGAGUAAUCAUGAAAGGGCUUUCGGGCUCGCUAAUUGAUGGGGAUAAGUCGUAUUAGUUAGUUGGUGGGGUAAUGGCCUACCAAGACAAUGAUGCGUAGCCAGUCUGAGAGGAUGAAUGGCCACAAAGGAACUGAGACACGGUCCUUACUCCUAUUGAGGAGGCAGCAGUGGGGAAUAUUCUGCAAUGGGGGAAACCCUGACAGAGCAAUACUACGUGAAGGAGGAAGGUCUACGGAUUGUAAACUUCUUUACUUAAAUGUACUAACCGCAAGGUUUUGCAUUUGAGCAAAAAGCGACGACUAACUAUGUGCCAGCAGUCGCGGUAAGACAUAGGUCGCGAACGUUAUCCGGAAUUAUUGGGCGUAAAGGAUGCGUAGAUGGUUCAGUAAGUUACUGGUGGGAAAUCGAGGCCUAACCUCGUGGAAGUCAGUAAUACUGUUGAACUUGAGUGCAGGAGAGGUUAACGGAACUUCAUGUGGAGCGGUAAAAUGCGUAGAUAUAUGAAAGAACAUCAAUAUAGCGAAGGCAGUUAACUAUUCUGCUACUGACAUUGAGGCAUGAAAGCGUGGGGAGCAAAACGGAUUAGAUACCCGUGUAGUCCACGCCCUAAACGAUGAGUGCUAGAUAUUGGGAACUUGAUUCUCAGUGUCGCUAGGUAACCCGGUAAGCACUCCGCCUGGGGAGUACGCUCGCAAGAGUGAAACUUAAAGGAAUUGACGGGGACUCGCACAAGCAGUGGAGCAUGUGGUUUAAUCCGAUACAACGCGUAGAACCUUACCAAGGCUUGACAUGUUCGGCAAAACUGUGGAAACACAGCGGAGGUUAUCCGGACACAGGUGCUGCAUGGCCGUCGUCAGUUCGUGCCGUGAGGUGUAUGGUUAAGUCCUAUAACGAACGUAACCCUUAGGUUUAGUUGCCAGCAUUCAGUUGGGGACUCUAGACCGACUGCCCGAGUAAUCGGGAAAAGGAAAGGAUGACGUCUGGUCGUC
rnacentral:rRNA from 1 species